rnacentral:lncRNA from 1 species
GUUGCAGCCUUCCAGUCUUAUAUAUAAGUAGUCCAAUCCCCUUGUUGUCGUAUAGCGAAGACUAAGAAUGUAGAAGGUAUGGAAUGAUUACAGAAUGGCUCAAGCAAAAAAGUAUUGCCUCACUGCAAAGACGAUUAACCGAUCUUAAUAAGAAGGGAUUAGAUCAAGAAAAGGAAAUGGGACCUUAACUUAUUAAGAGGCUAGGCGAGGACCUUCAAUCAAUCAAAGAUAAAUCAGUCCUUGAUGGAUGAGGAGUUU